rnacentral:ncRNA from 1 species
CAAAUAGAGGCGCGGCUUUCAAAAGUAAUGAGAUAGAGGUUGCCAAAACUGACGAAGUCUUGUGAAAGGGUGGGCUGCCGAAGGAGAUUAUUUUGGCGAAUAUGAUCCUGGUUGCAACGGCAAAUAGCUUUGCGACUGUCAUCACUUGUGAUGGAGUGCUAUUG